UACGAAGGGGGCUAGCGUUGCUCGGAAUCACUGGGCGUAAAGCGCACGUAGGCGGCUUUUUAAGUCAGGGGUGAAAUCCUGGAGCUCAACUCCAGAACUGCCUUUGAUACUGGGAGCUCGAGUCCGGGAGAGGUGAGUGGAAUUCCUAGUGUAGAGGUGAAAUUCGUAGAUAUUAGGAAGAACACCAGUGGCGAAGGCGGCUCACUGGCCCGGUACUGACGCUGAGGUGCGAAAGCGUGGGGGAGCAAACAGG
rnacentral:rRNA from 1 species